rnacentral:rRNA from 1 species
UACGUAGGGGGCUAGCGUUGUCCGGAUUCAUUGGGCGUAAAGAGCUCGUAGGCGGUCUGUUGCGUCCGCUGUGAAAACUCGGGGCUUAACCCCGAGCCUGCAGUGGAUACGGGCAGACUAGAGGUAGGUAGGGGAGAAUGGAAUUCCCGGUGUAGCGGUGAAAUGCGUUGAUAUCCGAAGGAACACCGGUGGCGAAAGCGGCUUACUGGGUCUUCUCUGACGCUGAGGCACGAAAGCUAGGGUAGCAAACGGG